GCCAUAUAGCAGCGCAUCAUGAGAAAUCAAUAUCAGUAGGAGAAAAGAGCACCAAAUGGCAGGAAUGCCACCCUAAUCACAUUCCAAACUCCCCUCGUGCUCGUUAUUGCUUGUGAUUCUACCUCCGAUCUACUGUAAAACCUAGAUCAUGGCAGUCUCGUCGCGCGUGGUGCGGUGGUGGUGUGCUAGGUUGGGUUGAAGGAUUGCCGUGUCGGAUUUAUUUUUCUUUGAGCGCGCGGAGAAUCCCAUGGGGAUGGAGGCGAACCAGUUCGAUCUCCUCGUCGAUGUCGACAAGGACGAUCCCUCCCUCGUCAUCGCGGCCACCGAGAAGAAGGCGGCCGCCAGCCGCCACGGCGUCCAAUCCAAGCUGCUCACCAAGCCGCUGCCACCGGCGCAGGCUGGUGAGUCGGUACGGAUUGGUACACGGGGAUUUUAGGAGUGGGAGAUGUGUUUUCGUGAAACUCGUAAGGGAGUCCAUGAACUAUGGUGCUCCAGCUCCAGGACGUGGCAGAGGUGGCUCUAGUGGAGACAGGACGAGCCCUAGGCGUGAAUUUGGUGAUGGUGAUACCAAUGUAGUUCAGGGAAGAUAUAGUGGAGGUGGGUUAGGCGAUGAUGGAGUUGUGAGAAGGGAGGAUGGUGAGGCGAAGGCUUCAGAGAGGGGCCAUGGACUGCGCCAGCCUUACUGUGAUGGCUACACGGGUGGAGAUUACAUGAGAUGAAUCUGCGGGUGCGCCUCGCCGGGCCUACGAGCGCCGCAGUAGCACAGGCAGAGUAUAUGUGGUGAAACUGGGGAACUAUGACUGACGACGCCGUUGUAGUCAGUGUUGUUCUUUGGAGCUUUAGUUUCCUUUCUGAGAGCUCACUUUGGUUUGGUGGAUUGAUUCAAGUGUAAACUUUGUUGUUUAUGAUCCAUUAGUGAAACUGUUGAGGCUGCUCAGUGCUCACACUUAGGGUGCUUUUGCCUUGUCGGAGAAUGGGAACAAGCAGGAAGAUUGUACCUCAAUUUGAAGUUGAGAAGAAUAAGGAGGGUGAGCAAAAAGAAGAUGAUGGAAAAGGAACCUGAAUAUAAGGAGAUGAUUGGGAGGAAUAUGAAGAGGUACUGGAGGAUGAGAGGAAAGCUUUGCUAGCACUGAAGGCCGGACAGAAAUUCUGAGAUAGAUAAGGACUUCCAGUCAAUGCAACAACUUUCUAUGAAGAAGUAUUCUGAUGAGGUCUUUAUCAAGGUGGUAGAUCCAAGCCCUGCUUUCAUUUGUUAUCCUUUUGCAGAACUUUAUCCUAUUGCAGUAUUGCUCACCUUGCACUUUGGGUUGUUGUAUGGUUCUGAGAAGGGCAAAAGGACAGAAAAUGUUGAUAGAGAUGAGCGUGUCAAGAAGGUAUCUAGACAUUAUGUUCCCAGACUUCAGUCCACUUUGUCAAACCAAUCUAUAUAUCCAAUGUCUUCUGCCCCCUAGUAUCUUAGUAUCAAUGAAUUCCUGAAGCCGGUUGAAGGUGAAAGGUACCCUGGUGGCGAUCUGGCAGUCGGCAGAGGCCGGUGGUGAUCGUGGACGAUACAGGGUGACUAUACUUUCUGAGAACCAGUUGAUGUGUCGUCAACUGAAGAUCAAUUACAGUUUCCUACGUUAGGUUGGAAAUGAACAUGUCACCAUCUGUAAACACCUUGCAUAUUUUAUGGGAUUUAUUACUUAUAUCUUGUAUCCUCAUGUGUCAGCCCGCUACAUCAGUACUGUACGUCCAUGCCUUUGCACAUUUUCAUGACAAACAACUAAAGGCCGUGCCAUCCUGGAGAAUAGUCACAUGUCAUUUGUAACUUGAUAAUCUGAAUCUUAAGAGAAAAAGAUCCGACCCGAGGACGAGCCCAAACCUUAGGGUUUGAAAAGAAGAAGUAAAGCUCUCAUUUACUUCAAUCAAAAAAGGUAGGUCAUAACACAGAUUGAAUUAGACCUUACUCAAUCACUCAUCGCUGGAAAAAGUAGAACGAUUUUGUUGCAAAACAAAGCACAAGCAAUCUCAAUUGUGGAAAGAAGUAAUUUUAGUAAAGACAUUGCUCCUCUCAUUUAUAAAGGAUAAAAAAGAAGAAAUUGCACCGUCAACAAAGCCUAGACAAUGACUUUUGGACCACUAUUGUCAACACUCAAGAUGGCUCUCACUAGACCACAUUAUGCAAUUUACCAAUUUUUGGGAGAUGACUCAUGUCAUACACUUGGACCCUAGCACAACGGAUUCAAUCCUAUGAAAGCUAACCAAGGAUGGUUGCUACUCUUCCAAGUCGACUUACACCAUGCAAUUCUUUGGAUACCCGAAAUCUUACAUGCAUUCCUUGAUUUGGAAGCCAUGGGCUCCACCGAAGUGCAAAAUCUUUGCUUGGUUGAUCAUCCAAAAUAGAGUUUGGACGGUAGAUUGGCUUCAAAAGAGAGGAUGGCCAAAUUGUGGAACAUGCAAGCUUUGUAAUCAAGCACAACAAUUCGCCUCUCAUCUUCUUUUCAAAUGCCGGUUCACCAUUCGUGUGUGGUCACCGGUGAAGAAUUGGCUAGGACUACAAGACGUUAACCCCGCAACUUGGCGUACUAUGAGGAAUGUAAAGGAGUGGUGGAAUGAGGCGAUUCAAAAGCACGGACAAUACCUCCACUUUAAACAUGUUGAUGACCAAGAUAAAAGAUGAAGCCACCAUAUGGAGCCUA